GACGAACGCUGGCGGCGUGCUUAACACAUGCAAGUCGAACGCUGAAGCUCAGCUUUUGUUGGGUGGAUGAGUGGCGAACGGGUGAGUAACACGUGAGUAACCUGCCCCCUUCUUUGGGAUAACGCCCGGAAACGGGUGCUAAUACUGGAUAUUCACUGGUCUUCGCAUGGGGGUUGGUGGAAAGGGUUUUUCUGGUGGUGGAUGGGCUCGCGGCCUAUCAGCUUGUUGGUGGGGUGAUGGCCUACCAAGGCUUUGACGGGUAGCCGGCCUGAGAGGGUGACCGGUCACAUUGGGACUGAGAUACGGCCCAGACUCCUACGGGAGGCAGCAGUGGGGAAUAUUGCGCAAUGGGAGCAAGCCUGAUGCAGCGACGCCGCGUGAGGGAUGGAGGCCUUCGGGUUGUGAACCUCUUUCGCUCAUGGUCAAGCCGCAACAAUGGUUGUGGUGAGGGUAGUGGGUAAAGAAGCGCCGGCUAACUACGUG
rnacentral:rRNA from 1 species